rnacentral:rRNA from 1 species
UGCGUAGGCGGAAUAUUAAGUCAGUGGUGAAAUCCCAGAGCUCAACUCUGGAACUGCCAUUGAAACUGGUAUUCUUGAAUAUAGUUGAGGUAGGCGGAAUGUGUAAUGUAGCGGUGAAAUGCUUAGAUAUUACACAGAACACCGAUUGCGAAGGCAGCUUACUAAACUAUGAUUGACGCUGAUGCACGAAAGCGUGGGGAGCGAACAGGAUUAGAUACCCUGGUAUUCC